CAGAAUUGCAGAAGAGACAAACGUGUAAAAUCAGCUGGUGGAUUUAGUAAAAAAGAAUAUUUACACAGCAAUUGUUUUUUUUUAUUAUCUUUUCUAACUGUUAAUAUAUUUUCUGAAACUGGGGCUUUUCUUGCCGUGCAUGUCCCCUCGCAUUCCGUUUCUCGCCAUGGAUUCUUCUCUUCCCGUUCAUGUUGACGAUGCUGACAAAGGGUUUAAUUGCGAUGCUGACAAAGGGUUUAAUUGCGAUGCUGACAAAGGGAAUUCUUCGAGUGAUUUCCCCAGCGAGGACUGGAAGCAGAAAUUAAACAUGCUUUUGAAUGAUCAGAGUAAGCAAGAGUUGGUCUCAAGGGAGAAAAAGGAUCGGCGUGAUUUUCAGCAAAUACAGACUUUGGCGAGCAAAAUGGGGUUGUAUAGCCAUAUGUAUGCGAAGGUGGUUGUUGUCAGCAAAGCCCCUCUUCCAAACUACAGAUAUGAUUUGGACGAUAAACGCCGCCUUAGGGAGGUGAACCUACCUACUACUUUGUUAAGGCAAGUUGAUGGAUAUCUUCAAGAAUACCUAACCCAGAAGUCAAGAAGGAAGGAAAGCUUUUCCGAUUUGUGGUGUGCAACACCAGCCGACAGCGGUGGUACACAUGAAGGGCUUUUUGAGCCACCUCAGUCACUAUCAUGCAGCAGGGCUGUAGUGGAUAAAUUUCUUUGUCAGAGAAGUUCACAAAUGCGUGAUCAGCAAAGAACUUGGCAGGAAUCUCCAGAUGGAAGUAAGACUCUGGAAUUUCGUAGCAGUCUACCUGCUUAUAAAGAGAAGGAAGCAAUAUUAUCAGCCAUAUCAAGGAAUCAGGUACUUAUCAUCUCGGGUGAAACAGGUUGUGGAAAGACAACACAAGUUCCACAAUUUAUCCUAGAAUCGGAGAUAGAAUUAGUUCGUGGAGCUGUGUGUAAUAUCAUUUGCACACAACCAAGACGCAUUGCAGCAAUUUCUGUUUCUGAAAGAGUUGCCUCUGAAAGAGGAGAGAAAUUGGGUGAAACUGUUGGAUAUAAAGUUAGACUUGAAGGCAUGCAAGGGAGAGAUACCCAUCUUCUCUUCUGCACCACAGGCAUCUUAUUAAGAAGAUUACUAGAUGAUAAAAAAUUAAAAGGCAUAACUCAUAUUAUUGUUGAUGAAAUUCAUGAGCGGGGAAUUAAUGAAGAUUUUUUGCUUGUUGUCCUUAAAGAUCUUCUAGCUUUCAGGCCAGAACUGAAACUGAUUUUAAUGAGUGCUACCCUUGAUGCUGAGCUCUUCUCUUCAUAUUUUAAUAAUGCUUCAACUAUGAAGAUUCCGGGUUUGACAUAUCCUGUCAGAACUCAUUUUUUGGAGGAUAUUUUGGAAAUGUCGGGCUACAAAUUGACUCCUGACAAUCAAAUUGAUGACUAUGGUCCAGAAAGGAUUUGGAAAAUGAACAAACAGUUGCCAGGAAAGAGGAAAAGCCAAUUAUCUUCUGCUGUGGAGGAUGUGUUAAAAGCUGCUGAUUUCAAUUAUUACAGUCCGCAAACAAGAGAGUCUUUGUCUUGUUGGAAUCCUGACUUUAUUGGUUUUAACCUCAUACAAUAUAUACUGUGCAAUAUAUGUGAGCAUGAAAGACCAGGUGCCAUUUUAGUUUUCAUGAUUGGAUGGGAUGAUAUAAAUGCUCUGAAGGAGAAGCUCCUAACACAUCCUGUCUUGAGUGAUCCAAACCGAGUUUUGUUGGUGAUGUGCCAUGGCUCAAUGGACAGUUUGGAGCAGAGGUUAAUCUUUCAAGAACCUGAAGAUGGAGUACGGAAAAUAGUGCUAGCAACAAAUAUUGCUGAAACGAGUAUCACAAUCAAUGAUAUUGUUUUUGUUAUCGACUGUGGGAAGGCAAAAGAAUCAUCAUAUGAUGCAUUGAAUAACACAUCUUGUUUGCUUCCUACUUGGAUUUCUAAGGUUUCAGUUCAACAAAGAAGAGGAAGAGCUGGUCGUGUUCAACCAGGAGAAUGUUAUCAUCUCUAUCCUAGAUGUGUAUAUGAUUCUUUCACAGAGCAUCAAUUACCUGAAAUUUUGAGGAUGCCGUUGCAAUCUCUCUGUUUGCAAAUCAAAAGUUUGAAACUAGGAAGUAUAUCUGAGUUUUUGUCUAGGGCUUUACAGUCUCCAGAGAUACUUGCGGUGCAAAAUGCAAUUGAAUAUUUGAAAACAAUUGGAGCUCUGGAUGAGAGUGAGAAUCUGACUAUUUUAGGGCGCCACCUGGCAGUGCUUCCUAUGGAACCCAAACUUGGCAAGAUGCUGAUAUUUGGUGUCAUAUUCAAUUGUCUGGAUCCUAUACUAACAAUUGUUGCAGGCCUUACUGUUCGAUGUCCUUUUCUAACACCUUCAGAUAAAAAAGAUCUUGCACAGGCAGCAAAGUCUCAGUUUUCCCAUGAUUACAGUGACCAUCUUGCCAUUGUGAGGGCCUAUGAUAGCUGGAAGGAUGCCGAAAUAGACAAUGCUGGACAUGAAUACUGCUGGAAGAAUUUUCUUUCUCCACAAUCCAUGAAAGUUAUUGAGGCUCUUCGAGUGGAAUUCUUAUCCCUGCUCAAAGAUAUUGGAUUAGUUGAUAGAAACAUGAGCAGUUGCAAUGCAUGGAGCUAUGAUAUGUAUCUCAUUCGAGCAGCUAUUUGCUAUGGCCUAUAUCCUGGAAUCUGCUCGGUUGUGCAUAAGGAUAAGUCAUUUUCUCUGAAAACAACGGAUGAUGGCAAAGUGUUCCUACAUUCGAAUUCAGUGAAUGCUCGCGAAUCUAGAAUUCCAUAUCCAUGGCUAGUUUUUAAUGAGAAGAUAAAAGUGAACUCUGUAUUUCUCCGUGACUCAACAGCUGUGCCUGAUUCUGUGGUACUUCUUUUUGGUGGGAGAAUCUCAAAAGGAGAUACUGAUGGUCACUUGAAAAUGUCGGGAGGAUAUUUGGAGUUUUUUGUGAAACCUGCUGUUGCUGACAUGUACCAGAGUAUAAGGAAAGAUCUUGACAGACUCAUUCACAGUAAAUUACAGUUCCCGCAGAUGAGCAUACACUCAUUCCAUGAGCUCUUAUUUGCUAUACGGUUGUUGAUUUGUAAUGAGAAAUGUGAAGGCAAAUUUGUAUUGAGUUGCCAGCUCCUUAAACCACCAAUGAUGGCAUUGCAACAAGCAUUGGUUUCAAGAACAAACAGUGGACCCGGGGGUGAUAAUACUAAAGGACAGCUUCAAACAUUGCUGACCCGAGCUGGAUAUGGUGCACCCUUCUACACAACUACACAGUUGAAGAAUAAUCAGUUUCGUGCUACAGUUGAGUUUAAUGGAGUGCAGAUUAUGGGCCAAACAUAUAGCAACAAAAAGAAUGCAGAAAAGGAUGCUGCGGCUGAGGCACUGCAGUGGCUUAUGGGUAGAAUACAAACCGGGAAUGAGGAUAUCAAUGACAUGACAAUGUUGCUGAAGAAAAGGAAGACAGAUCAUAAUUGAGCAAUGAAACAUGAAGAUGAACCUUGUAAACUGAAAAUAUGGAUCAAACUGAAUACAAAUCCUAUCAACAAACAAACGCCACCGCAUCUUCAGCGAGCAACAUGCUGGGGUCCACAUGAGCUUAGGGUUAGUUCCAGCCAGCUCCAUGGUCUCCGACACACAUCACCACUGUUGUCGUCGUUGCUGCUGCUACCGUCACCGGAGUUCCAGAAUCGACCGACGACCACACCUUUCGGCCAGGCGGCCACCGUGGUGCAAAGAUCGCGGCGAACGGACCACCCAUGGACCACCCACGCACCACCACACGCCGCUGCAACAGUCGCCGGCGCCGCCGCUUCCCACUGUGCGUGCUGGAGCGUCGCCGAAGAGAUCCGCCGCCGACUAGGACCGUCGUGAUCGCCUCCUCGCCCUCUUUCUGGAUUUGUGUUCGUUGCGUCAAUCGGAGCACUUUGGAUUUUUUUUAGGGUUUCUCCCCCUUCUUUAUGUCCCCAGGUCUCCCUUCAACUUAUUGUCCAUAAGUCGUCUAACUAGUGCCCUUAAUUGUGUUAUUUCAUUUACCAAAGAUUUUGUUUGCUUGCAAGACUGGAAUUCGAAACACAUGAUUGGCACAACAUGUGAGUCUCAUGGCCUAUAUCAUCUCAGCCCUUCUCCACAUGUUGGCGUAAUCAUGGAGUCACCAUCCUUUCUUCAUGCUCAGUUAGGUCAUCCUAGUCUUGCCAAACUGAAGCAAGUUGUGUCGAGUUUAUCGAAAUUAUCAAGUUUGUCGUGUGAGUCUUGUCAGUUAGGAAAGCAUACUCGUAGUUCCUUUCCUCAUAGUGUCUCAUAACGAGCGUCGUCCCCCUUUUCACUGGUUCAUUCUAAUAUUUGGGGACCUAGUCGUGUUAAGUGCACUUUAGGUUUUCAGUAUUUGUUACCUUUAUUGAUGACUAUUCCAAAUGUACUUGGUUGUUUUUAAUGAAGAAUCGUUCUGAGUUGUUUCCUAUUUUCCAAUCAUUUUUCAAUGAAAUAAAAACACAGUUUGGGGUUUCUAUUCGAACUUUACAUAGUGAUACUGGCCGUGAAUACCUUUCUCAACCAUUUAAACAUUUUAUGGCUUCUCAUGGCAUUCUUCACUAGACCUCAUGUGCUUAUACCCCUCAACAAAAUGGGGUGGCUGAGCGCAAGAAUAGACACCUUAUUGAAACAACUCGUACACUUCUAAUUCAUGGUCAAGUACCCUCGCAUUUUUGGGGUGAUGCAAUUCUCACUACAUGUUAUCUUAUAAACCGCAUGCCAUCUUCAGUCCUAGAUAACAAAAUCUCUCAUUCUAUUUUAUUUCCUCAAGACCCUUUACAUCCAUUACCUCUUAGAGUUUUUGGGUCUACAUGUUUUGUUCAUGAUUUUAGUCCUGGUCUUGAUAAGUUAUCUCCUAGAUCUCACAAAUGUGUCUUCUUAGGAUUUCCACGGUCACAAAAGGGCUAUAAGUGUUUUUCCCCUUCCCUCAAGUCUCAUUUAACUCUGCUGAUGUCACUUUUGAUGAAUCUUCCUUUUACUUUUCACAUCUAACUUCUAGUUUUGUACCUCCACCUGCUAUUGUUGAUAUUCCUAUUUUUUGUGAUCUUCCUCGUGAUGCUCCACCCAUUUUACCUCCUCUUUCUUUAGACUCUCAUUCACCACAGGAUCGUCCUUCACCACCACUCCUUCAAGUUUAUAAUCGCCGCAAUCGUCUCCCUCACUACUCACUUCCAGUGCCGCCUCUUGUGUCUCCUCCGGCUCCAACAAAUGAGUUUGACCUGCCCAUUGCCCUCCGUAAAGGUAUACGCUCUACCCGUAACCCUUCCCCCCAUUAUAUUGUUCUUAGUUACCACAUAUUAUCUCCAUCUUUUUACACAUGUCUCUCAUCCAUUUCUUCUGUGUCAAUUCCCAAGUCUGUGGGUGAUGCCUUAACUCAUCCUAGCUAGCGUCAAGGCAUACUGGAUGAGUUAAGUGUUUUAUAGAAAAGUGGAACUUGAGAGCUUGUCCAAUUACCAUCUGGAAAGUCUUUUGUUGGUUGCCAAAGGCUACACACAAAUUUUUGGUUUGGAUUAUGGUGAUACUUUCUCUCUAGUGGCAAAAAUGACCUUUGUUCGCCUAUUCAUUGCCAUGGCCGCUCUUCGACAAUGGUCUCUUUACCAACUUGAUGUCAAAAAUGCUUUCCUUAAUGGUGAUUUGCAUGAAGAAAUUUAUAUAGAGCAACCGCCCGACUUUGUUGCUCAGGGGGAGUCAUCUGGAUUGGUAUGUCAUCUUUGCAUAUCCUUAUAUGGCCUAAAACAGUCUCCUCGAGCCUGGUUUGGUAAAUUCAGUUAUGUUGUUCAAGAAUUUGGUAUGUCUCGUAGUGAAAUGGAUCAUUCAGUGUUCUAUCGCUACUCAGAUACUAGAUGUAUCUACUUAAUAGUGUAUGUCGAUGACAUUGUUCUCACAUGAAGCGACUAUCUUGGCAUCUCUAGGAUGAAACAACACCUUUGUCACCAUUUUCAAAUCAAAAAUCUUGGCAAACUCCGGUACUUUUUGGGUAUUGAAGUAGCACAAUCCAACACUGGUAUUGUCAUAUCUCAGAGGAAAUAUGCGUUAGAUAUCUUGGAGGAAACAUGGUUAAUGAACUCUAAAUCUGUUGAGACACCUAUGGAUUCUAACAUCAAACUCCUACCAAAUCAGGGGGAGCCUUUCUCAGAUCCUGAACGGUACAAAAGAUUAGUUGGUAAAUUAAACUAUCUUGUUACACGUCUUGACAUUUCCUUCGCAGUUAGCAUGGUGAGUCAAUUCCUAAACUCCCCAUGUGAAGACCAUUGGGAUGCAGUUGUUCGCGUACUAAAGUAUAUUAAAGGAUUACUUGGAAAAGGUUUGCUAUAUGGUCCUAACAACGACACAAAAAUCGUUUGCUAUUCAGAUGUUGAUUGGGCUGGUUCCCCUUUUGAUAGGAGGUCUACUUCUGGAUAUUGUGUUUCUAUUGGUGGCAACCUGAUAUCUUGGAAAUGUAAGAAGCAAAGUGUUGUGGCAAGGUCCAGCGCAGAAGCAGAAUAUAGAGCUAUGAUAUCAGCUACUUGCGAGCUUGUGUGGCUUAAACAAUUACUUAGUGAAUUGAAAUUUGGAGAUGCCACUCACAUGACACUUAUAUGUGAUAAUCAGGCUGCUCUCCGUAUUAGCUCUAAUCCUGUCUUCCAUGAGAGAACCAACCACAUUGAAGUUGAUUGUCUUUUUAUUCGAGAAAAAAUCAUAUUCAGAGAUAUCAAGAUUGAGUUCGUUAACUCAAGUAACCAGUUGGCAGACAUAUUCACCAAGUCCUUACGAGGACUUAGAAUUGACUAUCUUUGUAACAAGCUUGAAACACAUGAUUUAUAUGCUCCAACUUGAAGGGUGGUGUUAGAUGUUAAGAUGUGUGUUUAUGUUAAUUGGGCUCAACCCAUUCUGCAUUAAGAACCUUGACCCAUAUCUUACAUUAUAAAUAAACUAUCCUAUGUGUAUGAAAAGACAUAAGGGAGAUUUCUCCCAAUCUUCUCCAUUAUUCACGGUUUAGAAAAUCAGUAAUUUCCUUUCUAUUUAAUGCACACUGUAUAUAGAGAAGCAUUAUAUUCACCCAUCAAUAUUUUGUCUUAUUAGAAUUUCUUCUAAUUGGCUUAAUUUUACGUUUGGUCUCUGGAGGUUAAAAUUUCACAAGUUCAGUAUUCAAAGUAUCAAACUUGGAGGAUUUUGGUUCUUUCAUCAAUCUUCCGUUUAAUAUAUUUUAUUGAUGUGACUCUGAAUGAUAAUGUGGUAGGUGAUGUGUUGCAUAAUAAAUAUGUUCACAUCACAUGACUUAAUUGCACUUCUGGUUCCUUGUGAUUAAUGCUUAUAAGUUAUUAGAAUCAUAUAUAAUUAGAUAUUACGCAAUCAGUUAUCUUAUUUCAUUUUUUUUUCAGCUUGAUACUAUGUUUGUUAUUAUAUAGUCUUCUCUUUUAUGUAAAUAUGCAUAUUUUGAUACAAUAAAUUAUUUUAUUUCUUUC